rnacentral:tRNA from 1 species
GAAGAGGUAGCAUAAAGGGAAUGCAGCUGCCUUGAAAGCAGUGUUUAAGAUAAUGUCGGUUCGAGUCCGAUCUUCUUCU